rnacentral:rRNA from 1 species
GAUCACGGCUCAGGAUGAACGCUAGCUACAGGCUUAACACAUGCAAGUCGAGGGGCAGCAUGGUCUUAGCUUGCUAAGGCCGAUGGCGACCGGCGCACGGGUGAGUAACACGUAUCCAACCUGCCGUCUACUCUUGGACAGCCCUCUGAAAGGAAGAUUAAUACAAGAUGGCAUCAUGAGUCCGCAUGUUCACAUGAUUAAAGGUAUUCCGGUAGACGAUGGGGA